UAGGGAAUCUUCCGCAAUGGGCGAAAGCCUGACGGAGCAACGCCGCGUGAGUGAUGAAGGUCUUCGGAUCGUAAAACUCUGUUAUUAGGGAAGAACAAAUGUGUAAGUAACUAUGCACGUCUUGACGGUACCUAAUCAGAAAGCCACGGCUAACUACGUGCCAGCAGCCGCGGUAAUACGUAGGUGGCAAGCGUUAUCCGGAAUUAUUGGGCGUAAAGCGCGCGUAGGCGGUUUUUUAAGUCUGAUGUGAAAGCCCACGGCUCAACCGUGGAGGGUCAGUGGAAACUGGAAAACUUGAGUGCAGAAGAGGAAAGUGGAAUUCCAUGUGUAGCGGUAAAAUGCGCAGAGAUAUGGAGGAACACCAGUGGCGAAGGCGACUUUCUGGUCUGUAACUGACGCUGAUGUGCGAAAGCGUGGGGAUCAAACAGG
rnacentral:rRNA from 1 species